rnacentral:rRNA from 1 species
CCUACGGGAGGCAGCAGUGAGGAAUAUUGGUCAAUGGACGAGAGUCUGAACCAGCCAAGUAGCGUGAAGGAUGACUGCCCUAUGGGUUGUAAACUUCUUUUAUAUGGGAAUAAAAUGUUCCACGUGUGGGCUUUUGUAUGUACCAUAUGAAUAAGGAUCGGCUAACUCCGUGCCAGCAGCCGCGGUAAUACGGAGGAUCCGAGCGUUAUCCGGAUUUAUUGGGUUUAAAGGGAGCGUAGGUGGAUUGUUAAGUCAGUUGUGAAAGUUUGCGGCGCAACCGUAAAAUUGCAGUUGAAACUGGCAGUCUUGAGUACAGUAGAGGUGGGCGGAAUUCGUGGUGUAGCGGUGAAAUGCUUAGAUAUCACGAAGAACUCCGAUUGCGAAGGCAGCUCACUGGACUGCAACUGACACUGAGGCUCGAAAGUGUGGGUAUCAAACAGGAUUAGAUACCCGAGUAGUC